AACGAACGCUGGCGGCAGGCCUAACACAUGCAAGUCGAGCGAACCCUUCGGGGUUAGCGGCGGACGGGUUAGUAACGCGUGGGAAUAUACCCUUUGGUACGGAAUAGCCUCGGGAAACUGAGAGUAAUACCGUAUGUGCCCCUUCGGGGGAAAGAUUUAUCGCCAAAGGAUUAGCCCGCGUUGGAUUAGAUAGUUGGUGGGGUAAUGGCCUACCAAGUCUACGAUCCAUAGCUGGUUUGAGAGGAUGAUCAGCAACACUGGGACUGAGACACGGCCCAGACUCCUACGGGAGGCAGCAGUGGGGAAUCUUAGACAAUGGGCGCAAGCCUGAUCUAGCCAUGCCGCGUGGACGACGAAGGCCUUAGGGUUGUAAAGUCCUUUCAGAUGGGAAGAUAAUGACGGUACCAUCAGAAGAAGCCCCGGCUAACUCCGUG
rnacentral:rRNA from 1 species